CGGGUGAGUAAUGCAUAGGAAUCUACCCAGUAGCGGGGGACAACCUGGUGAAAACCAGGCUAAUACCGCAUACGCCCUACGGGGGAAAGCAGGGGAUCUUCGGACCUUGCACUAUUGGAUGAGCCUAUGUCAGAUUAGCUAGUUGGUGGGGUAAUGGCCUACCAAGGCGACGAUCUGUAGCUGGUUUGAGAGGAUGAUCAGCCACACUGGGACUGAGACACGGCCCAG
rnacentral:rRNA from 1 species